rnacentral:rRNA from 1 species
GGCCUAACACAUGCAAGUCAACGGACCGAUCCCGUUGCAGCGGACUGAGGAUUCGUCUGACGUCCAAACGUGGGAUAGGUUAGUGGCGCACGGGUGAGUAACACGUAGGUGACCUGCCCGAAGAGGGGGAUAACUGCUGGAAACGGCAGCUAAUACCCCAUGUGGUGGCGAUUCGUUUCGCUGAUUAAAGCUCCGGCGCUUCGGGAGGGGCCUGCACCUAUCAGCUAGUUGGUGGGGUAAUGGCCUACCAAGGCUAAGACGGGUGGGGGAGAGACCGCGUGGCCCCCCACAAUGGAACUGAGACACGGUCCAUCUCCUACGGGAGGCAGCAGUGAGGGAUAUUGCGCAAUGGGGGAAACCCUACGCAGCAACGCCGCGUGGGUGAUGAAGGCUCUCGGGU